rnacentral:lncRNA from 1 species
CCGCGGCAUAUGGAGGUUCCCAGGCUAGGGGUCCAAUCGGAGCUGUAGCCGCCGGCCUACACCACAGCCACAGCAACGUGGGAUCUGAAUCGCGUCUGCAACCUACACCACAGCUCACAGAAGCGCUGGAUCCUUAACCCUCGGAGCAUGGCCAGGGAUUGAACCCGCAACCUCAUGGUUCCAAGUCGGAUUUGUGAACCACUGCACCAUGACAGGAACUCCUGAAAUGUAUUUUUAAAAACCAACACGCGAGAGGACAGUGUGCCCGCCCAGGAGAUAAGGCUGCUGCAGGGACAAGAGGAGAAACAAUAGUGAACGGGUCUUGCUCCUCGAUCACGUGUUUGUGUUCAAACCCCAUUUUCCCUCCCGUCUUCGCGAGAGUGGCGCCCCAACAGCCGUGCAUGCCGCUGUUGUCCCCAGGACCAGCCUCGCAUCCCUCAGGGGCAGAGAUAGGCGCUGGCUCUGCCUCAGACGCAGCUGCCGAAGCCCCAAGACAGUGGGGCCUCUGGGAAGCUCCCUCUGUCCCAUCAGGCUGGCCAAGUUCAGGACUAGCAGGAGGCAGGGCUGCAGGGCGAGAAGGAGCAUCCACUCCCCAGCAUUUCUCAACCAGGAGGGACGAGGCCGACAGCAGGUGGCUCUGAAGGAUCAGAGAAACAAAGUUUCAAAGUAUAUGCAAGCACUGCAGGAAGUGACAGUGUUAAUGAGGGCCCCCAAGUGGUGUGGGCACACUCGUGUGUGUGCGUGUUUGCACACGUGUGUGAGGAUGUGUGUGUGCCCUGGUGUACAUAUGUGCACUGCUGCCGUCCAUGUGGGCGCGUGUCCACGGGUGCGUGUGUGCCGGUGCUGGUGAGCACACAUCUGUGUGGGCACGCCCGAGCACCUGCAUGCCGGUGUUCACUAGCAUGCACAUACAUACACACACAUGCCCCGUGUUGGCGGGGGCUGAGGCCGUGAGAGCCCAGCUCUGCGGGGCAGCCCUACAGCGCCCUCCUCAUAAGGACUCUUAGAGGACCAACAGCAGGCAAGGCAGUUGGUUCAGAAUCAAAUUAUAGCCAAAUCACCCACUUGAGUUCACGCUGGCUCAGGUGCCAUGGCCCCUUUCCCGCACGUGGGCACGGCCUGCCGCACAAGCCCUCAGAUGUGGUCGGGAGAGGAGGGCUGACACCGAGGUGCAGAGGUGACACACGCACCUCCAGCCUCGGGGUUCUCUGCUCUUGGGAAAUGCAGGCUCCCACUCAGAACCAGGUGCACUGGGAGGGGACCUGGGGGUGACUUUCCCAGCAGGGGAAAGACAAGAGCCUGAGAAAGAGAGGCAGCCGGUCCAGGGGCAGAGAGUCCCUGAGGGCAGAGCUUGGCUAGGAGACCCGCAUCCUGUCUUCUGUCCCACAGAAGCUGGUGCUCAGCUGAGCCCGAAGCAGGCAGGUGCAGCCUCCUGGGUCCAGAAGAUGCUCCUUGUCCCCAGGCGCCAGCACCAGACGCGUGGGAGCAUCGAGGCUCAGCUCAAGGCUCGGGGCCAAGGCAGGACGAGCAGCCAGCCCCAGGAGUGGUCCCCGGGAGGCAGGCGUUGAGCAAGGUGGCAGAGGGCACAUGUGCCCUGCCCCCUGGGGGGGUGUCCUUAUCCUGAAGCCCCAGCUGAGGUCUCAGGAUGAGCGGGGUGAACAGGAGCUAUGGGCGCCUGGAGGGAGCUCGUCUCAGGCAACGUCAAGGUUAAAAGUCAGAUCAUUGUGCCGCCUGAAGGCUUUUCCUAUUUCCCUCCCAGGUUCCCAGAGAAGAAAUGAUUUCUCGAAUGAAGCGGGGGGGUAGGGCUGGCAGGGGUCCUGCUGGGGUCUGUUCUGUGGAUCCCUGAGCCCCUCCAUCCUCCUGGGGAUCCCUGAGCGCCCCCAUCCUGCUCCAGCUGCCUUUACAAAGAGCAUCUCAGAUUCCCAAGCCACAUACUCUCCAGCCGGAUGAUGAGUUUCCCAAAGAACUGUCAUCACACCACGUGACCUCCAGAAACUGACCCCACACCUAAGGACGAUCGAAAGUGGAGACAGGCGUCUACCCUCAGCCACCGGGCUGUGAUCCCUGCCAUCUCAGCUGCUGUGCCGGCCGCGCAGGGGAGGAGCCCCAGCCAUCAGCCCAGGAGGACGGAGUGCACAGAGCAGGUAGUGUGGGCUGUCGAGGGGGCCCCAGGGAGAAACACGAGACGUGUUUCUAGUCCAGAAAGUACUAGAACGUGCCCUUUAGGAGAGCACGUGGUCCCCAUGAUGUUUCUUUUCAAACCAGCCUACGAAACUUUACUACACGCCUACACACCUCCUCCAGGCUUCCCAGGGCAGGCCUCCCGCUGCCGCUAAGAGAUGAGGAAACGCCGUUUGCCACGGUAAGUACAGUGAAUUGAGGGCCACAGCCUGGCCUUGUCCGAUCACUCAGCUUGGCCCCCAGAGACAGAGCAGCACACAGCCACCAGCAGCAGAAGCCGAAACUCAUUCCCUAAGUGUGCCAAAACCAGGUGCAACCCACUCAGGACUGGCCUGUGAGAAUUAACUGCAAACAGGGUGUUUCAGAAAGGGACCCGGUGUUCCAGGGAGACAAGAUGUUCCGGGGAGGGACCGGGUGUUCCAGCGAGAGACCAGGUGUUCCAGGGAGGAACCAGAUGUUCCAGGGAGGGACCAGGUGUUCCAGGGGGAGACCAGGUGUUCCAGGGAGAGACCAGGUGUGCCAGGGACGGCCCAGGUGUUCCAGGGAGGGACCAGAUGUUCCAGGGAGGGACCAGAUGUUCCAGGGAGGGACGAGGUGUUUCAGGGAGAGACCAGGUGUUCCAGGGAGGAACCAGAUGUUCCAGGGAGGGACCAAGUGUUUCAGGGAGAGACCAGGUGUUCCAGGGAGAGACCAGGUGUUCCAGGGAGAGACCAGGUGUUCCAGGGACGGACCAGGUGUUUCAGGGAGAGACCAGGUGUUCCAGGGAGAGACCAGGUGUUCCAGGGAGGGACCAGGUGUUCCAGGGAGAGACCAGGUGUUCCAGGGGGAGACCAGGUGUUCCAGGGAGAGACCAGGUGUUCCAGGGAGGGACCAGGUGUUCCAGGGAGGGACCAGAUGUUCCAGGGAGGACCAGGUGUUCCAGAGGGACCAGGUGUUCUAGGGAGGGACCAGAUGUUCCAGGGAGGACCAGGUGUUUCAUGGAGGGACCAGGUGUUCCAGGGAGGGACUGGUUGUUCCGGGGAGAAACCAGGUGUUGGGGUUUGUUCGGGGGGUGUUCCACAGGAAGAUGUUCCAAGGAGGGACUGAGUUGGACUGAGGAAGGAUUCGCAUGAGGUUCUGGGCCCUAAAUGUCCUUCCUUCCUUUCCCCAUCCUAUUGGUGGUCAAGGGGAACCUUGAGGCCAGCCCCCGCGCAGCACAACGCUUCUGGUCUGUCAGCAGAGUCCACCUGCGCUGCCAUCAGCAGCAUCACCCCUGCUGUUCUAAGGAAAGAACCAGAAUAUAUCCUCAAUCCCUGGAGAAUGGCUGUUUUCAGGCAUUUGACCCAGUGCCAGAGAUAAGCAACGUGAAAAACUUUGUAAUAAUUCCCACUGGAAAAAAAAAUAAGUGCCUAUGAUCUGUGUAAUAGCUCCAUAAGUUGGAAACAGAGUAUCAAAAUCAAUAAUACUUAACCCUUGGAUAUAUUUAUAUUUAUAAAAUGGUUUAAAAUAUUUUACUUGGCAUUGUCAUUUGAGCUUCAGCACAGCCCUGAUUGAGCCUCCACAUUUACCAGACGAAGAAAUGUUUCCUCGGAGAGGUUUCGUAGUGCCACUCCCGCGGCACACCCGCUGCUGGGAGACAGGUGGUUAUUGCAAAACGAAGCCUGCUGCUCACAUGCAUCCACCGAUCACACGCCUCGAUUCACCCGAAGGAGCUGAAAACUCACGUCCUCACAAAACCACACACACACCGCAGCUUCAUCCAUCAUCACAGCAACCUGGAAGCAACCAAGGUGUCCUUCAGUGGGUGAUGGACAUGCCAACGUGGUGCAUGCAGACAGCGGACUGUUAGCGCUAAAGAGAAACACGCCGAGCCAUGAAAAGACAGGCGGGAACGAAAAAACGUAACACCGAGUGAACAUCGUACUGAGAGAAGGAAUGCGAUCUGGAAAGGGCUACAGACGGUACGAUCCCACCCAGAUGACACUCUGGGAAAACAGUCAAACGAGCCGUGGUUGCCAGGGACUGGCAGGAGGGGAGGGCGGGUGGGCACAGGGCAUUUUUAGGGCAGCGAGACUCUUCUGCAGAAACCCAUAAUGGUGGACAUGGGACACUGCACAGCUGUCAAGACCCCAGAAUGUACGAAACAAGUUCGUCCUAACGUAAACCAUGUUGGUUGAUAAUCACGUAGCAACAUUGACUCAUCAUUUGCAAAAGCCGGAGGCUGAUCAUCGGGAAACCCUUCUGGAGGCAGAGGCGGGGGGACGAGUGGUUCUGCUCAGCCUUCCUGAGAAUCUAAAACUGCUGGUAAAAAUGAAAUCCAUUCAUUAAAAAACCUGUUUUCCUCUGUUUGGCCUCCUCCAUGAAGUGCUCUCUCUGUGUGUCCCAAAUGUCUCAAACUCCCUCCAAACUAAGUCGCCGUCCAACCCCGUGUGACUGGACCACUAGGCACACUGGACCGCCCCCCAGCCUGUUGUGACAGUCAGUGCUUGAGAAGGAACAGGGUGCUAGAACCGGGCUGGGACACUGGACCCCAAGUCUCACUGAGCCUGCCUUGCCAGCAGGAGCGCCCCUCUCUCUCCCGCUGAAGCACCUGUAAUCCCCCGGGGAAGCCUUGCAGCCCUGCGGACCCUCCCGGGACACAGCCCACCACUGCCCCGAGCAUCUCGCCCUAAGCAUCUCACCCCAGCAUCUCGCCCCAGCAUCUCGCCCGGCACCUGGACUGAAGGCCCAGAGGCUGGGGUUCAAAGCACGGCCAGGAGAGUGUGCAGAGCACGUGGAAGAACGGCAGGAGUUUGCCAGUUUGCAGCAGCAGAAACACAGAUGAGGAUGGGGCUUGCGGAGGCCGGAUCAGGUGGAAUGAACAGAGACUGGCUGAUUUCUGCUGUGGGCACCCAAGCGCAGGUUCCCCACCCAGCAGCUCAACAGUCUCCACCAACGGGCAACAUAUAAACACGGUCACCAGUGUGGAGUGGGGUCUACCUGACAUCAAGAGCAAAGGCCAGAACCUCCUCGUCACCUUCCAGAGGCACUUGUCAGAGGCUUAGAGAGAUGGGCACAACAGACCUUCCAGGGGCCCCAGCAGGGUCCAGAAGGCACGCGAAAAAAGUUCACGGGGUCCCAGCAUCCUUGUGGAAUGCGCGGUGACGCCCCGAAUGUCAGGAAUACAUCGGGACCUGCCUCCAUCCACCCGGAACCCCAGCAUGUAUCCAGAUGACAAGUCCUGGGGAGGCAGGGGCCAAGUGGGGACACGUAAGUGCCUUGUGGUCACCACACAGCAGUGAUCAGAAGAGAAGGCCCCCAGGGCACGAGCUGUAGGAAGGUCCCAGAGCUGCAGGCGGGUGCUCUGCCUGCAAGCACGGAUCUGCCCAAACAGGUCGCCCUCUGCCCAACACAAGUCUGACUGGACCAUGGGAACAGUCACAGCCCCCCACCAACUGCCAGUGGGAACUCCAUCUCACAGAUCAGCGCCCCUCGAAUGGGGGCGUGGCAGGCCGCUGUGAGAGACUCUGUCACAAAGCCACACGCUCGUCACUUCACCUUCCCCUGGUCUUAUAACAGGGCGGCCUGCGUGGGGGCAAAGGGCAUCUUCAGACCCCUCAGUGAUCACUGGACCCCGGCUCUCAAGGACACCAACAGAGACCCAGAUGUCACCAUGGUCCACCAGCCACACGGGGCUCAUGGGACAGGUGCUCCAGCCGUCCUGUGGGUGUCCCCCAGUUCUGGAAUGCAUAGCUGGAACGGGGCACAGCCAGUGCGGCCCCACCUGGUUCCCUGACCUGCAGCCUGAGGCUCUCACCAAUGCCACCGACACAGUCACAGACCAACUGCAACACCAGAUCCUGGGGGGACAGCAGAGGCUGACAGGUGCCACCAUCGAGGACUGGAAAGACCCGGGCUGAUCCCACAGCCCUCCCCGUCCUGUCUGCA